rnacentral:lncRNA from 1 species
UCCAGCUCUGUCGAAAAGGAGAAAACCAAGAAUGGUAGACAUGUGCUGAAGCUCCAAGGUUUCAUUUAAAUGGGUCUCUGCCCUGGUCCAGUCACAAAGGGAAGAGAAGAAUGAAUCUCUGAAAACAGCUCCUCCUAUUUGUUUUAGAUAUCAUGAUUGCAACUCCUGCCUCCUUUCUGUCAGUUGAGGCCCAAUAGGUCUUGCUUCAACCUUUAAUUUUGACAUUGUGAGUUUCUACCUGCCUCGUGUGUUUCCUGAAGACAACAAAUGGUACGGUUUUAGAUUCUAAUCCACUCUGCUAUUCAUCUACGUUUUAUGGAUAAGGAGAAAGUCGGUACAUUUUAGGAGGUCAGGAUUAGGUGUUCUCCCAGCUGGAAGUAUGGAACCUUGCCACAGUUUUGAGAUGAUGAUUUGGUAUAGAAUUGUGAAAGUGUUAAAAUAAUUCUACAUAUUAACAGUGGGCUUUGUCCCUGGUGGACUCCAUAUGCAUAACACAUGACCAGUCCAGCAGCUGUUCUAUAUUUUAACAGGAUAGUUAAAAAGUUAGAAACA